UUUUUUUUAUUUGGUGAGUUGGAUGAACUAAUUAAGAUGAGUAUAAAUACAUUUAUGGGAAUCAGAAAGUAAAAUAUUCAAAAAUUAAGACAGGAGAUAUAUUGAAGAAUCCUAAGAUGUACGUCAAGCCAUUAUUUUAGCUCAACGAGCAUCGCUUGGAUACAUGAUUACUCCACUGUGCCACAUGAGUUUUCAAAUAGAGGAUGA
rnacentral:lncRNA from 1 species